GUUACAUCCUUCCUUUCACAGCUCUGCAGAGCUCUCAGCAUUGCUUUGAUGGUGCUGCCACCAGAUUCUUUGUAUGUGAUUGCCUUAUCUGGAGAAAAUCUAUGCCUGAGGUUCGCUCUGCACACAGGUUUUGGAUUUCAUUGUUUGCCAUGAUCAAGAACGUGUUUGCGUUUUCUAAAACAAACUUUCCAGGAGAGCUUUGUGAGAGCCUUUCGGUAGCACCGUGCAGCACGUUUGCUGUCAAAGUUGUGCCCCCGCCUGUUUAAUGAUUAAUUUACGAGGCUGGUACCUAUUAACGCAGGCUGGAGGGUGUAGUGUGAAUUUUAGAGCCAUCUCAGUGCUUGGGAUCUCCAAUAUCUGCUGUUGUUACACAGCUGUGAUCCUUACUUUUUGCAAACUGAGAUAAGGAAGGGGUGUAAUGGUGAGGUCAGUUGCUUGUGGUUUUUCUUUUUCUGUUGAAAAAUGUGGAGCUAAGUUUCUUGUUGUGCAACUCUGUACUUCCAAAUGUGCUUAUUUAUAGUUGGUUCUUGCGUGCCUGAAAGUCUGUUAGUGCACUUUUGUUAACUGAUUGAUUUAUAGCAUCCAAACACAUAGCAGGAAGAUCUUUCAAUGCGGGUCGGUCGGCGGCUGCUUCUCACGAGCACAGGUUGCAGAGAUCCUUUCAAGUUGCUGUUUUUCAUUUUGAGAAUAGCAAUGGGUGUUUAAAUGUGCCCUUGUUCAACUACUGGAGUAUGAAUCAUUUUGAGGAGGUGUUGAAGUAGUUCAAAGUCAAAAACAGAACUUGACUUCUUCCCUAUGCACAGUUCCUCUAAAACGUCCAUUCUGACACUGCUGGUAACGUUGGGUGGUUUGUUGGGUGGUUUUUUUUGUGUGUGUGGUUAUUGCUUUGUUAUAUUGUUGGGUUUUUUUCCUAACAGUGAAUAUGCAGAUAUUUUAUUAACACAUUUUGAACUUGUGGUAUAAAUUCAGACAAAAAUCCAACCUCAUUACUUAAUAGCGUCAAAGUGUGAAUUCUUGGAUCGUUUGCUGCUGUUCUUGGUAACCUGAACUGUUGAAAACUUCAAGUGCAGACACGUGGUGUGGAUACGUGUGUGAUUCCCUAAUGGCAUAACUCACACUUUGCACGCAGGUUUGGUAUUUGACAUGAAGGGAUGGGGAUUUGGUGGAAGUUGGGGAACGUGGGGACCAGCUGGUAAAGCUGGAGGGGCAUCCAGUACAAGAAGUCAUGGCCUUAAGUUGUACCAUGAGAGGUUCAGGUUGAAUAUUAGGUAUAAUUUCUUCUCUGGAAGAGUGGUCAGGCACUGACACAGGCUGCACAGGGACAUGGCGGAGUCACCAUCCCUGGAGAUGUCCAAGAGCUGAGGAUAUGUGGCACUGAGGGAUGUGGUCAGUGGGGUGGAUUGGGGUUGGAUUUGGUGAUCUCAGUGGUCUUUUCCAGCCUUAAAAAUUCUAUGAAUGGCAGCUAUGGAAGGGUGAAAUGGGUGAGUGGACUUCGGUCCUGAAAAG
rnacentral:lncRNA from 1 species